GAAAGACUAAGAUAUAUUUUCUUAAUUGUGUGGGGAAAUCUAAGGCACACGUAAAUUUUGGCCUAGGAAAUAUCUUACUAAACUUUUAAUCAGUUGAGUUAUGGUAAAAGUCUCUCAAGCAUGAGAAGGUAACAAUGAAUUAUAUAGGGUGAAUUAAAAUAAUUAUUUUCUAUUAUUUCUACUAUCUCUCUCUAACAAUUUUGUUAAAACUUAUUUUUAUAUUAAACCAACGAUUAAAAAUGUUAAAAAUAAUUUCAACACAAUUCAAACCAUUUUUGUUCACACCUUUAAUAUGUAUCAUCAUUUAUUCUCUCCAUCUUGGAGUGUGUUGAAAUUUUAAUAUUUAAUAUAAUAUGAAUAAUUAGGAUCCUUGGAAAUUAUGAAGGUAUUGCAAUCUAAUUUUAAUUAUACCUCUUAAAAAUUGCUUGUUUCAAACGUUUCUUUUAUAAUAAAGAUGUUUAUAUUCUCGUGUAAGAAAAAACUCAAGUUCAACCUUUGGUGCAUGUGUAGUAAAAUUAUGUAAUUCUGAAAUAGAACAAACAAUUUCUAGUGUGUGUGAAAAUAUGGAAAUUAAGAAUUUAAUUAUUACAAGGAAUAAGAGAGAAACUGAAAUAAUAUAUUAUUGAAAUAUUAAAUUCUAACAACCAUCAACAGACAUUUGAAGAAAUGUAAUUUUUCACAGUAUAAAAUAUAUAUAUAAAUGAAUACUUCAGAAUGCAAAACGAGAGAACAUAUGGCACAAAUUCUUAAGUUUGUUAGUCUCAUAAUUAUUUUUCUUUUCAAAUUCGUCAUUGUAACACACGGUAUCGUUGUAACUGAUGGAGCUAUUAAAUGCUGGUCUAAUAGAGAAUGUCGUAAAGCAAUGCCUGAUUGCAUUCGUCCUAAACUUCCAAUGUGUGUAUCAGGGAUAUGUGAUUGCCUGUAAUAGUAGGAAUAAAGUAUGAGAAAUAAUUUCAUGUAUUUGUAACUCUAAUAUUGAUACUUUUGUUAGUAUUGUGUUCUUCCGAUUUUGAGCAGAAUGAAAUUUAUUUUAAACCAUAAA